rnacentral:rRNA from 1 species
CGGGGUGCAGCAGGCGCGAAAACUUUACAAUGCCGGCAACGGCGAUAAGGGAACCUCGAGUGCCAGGUUACAAAUCUGGCUGUCGUGAUGCCUAAAAAGCAUUGCAUAGCAAGGGCCGGGCAAGACCGGUGCCAGCCGCCGCGGUAACACCGGCGGCUCGAGUGGUAACCGUUAUUAUUGGGUCUAAAGGGUCUGUAGCCGGCCGGAUAAGUCUCUUGGGAAAUCUGGCAGCUUAACUGUCAGGCUUUCAGGAGAUACUGUCUGGCUCGAGGCCGGGAGAGGUGAGAGGUACUUCAGGGGUAGGGGUGAGAUCUUGUAAUCCUUGAAGGACCACCAGUGGCGAAGGCGUCUCACCAGAACGGACCUGACGGCAAGGGACGAAAGCUAGGGGCACGAACCGGAUUAGAUACCCGGGUAGUCCUAGCCGUAAACGAUACUCGCUAGGUGUCGGCCACGGUGCGACCGUGGUCGGUGCCGUAGGGAAGCCGUGAAGCGAGCCACCUGGGAAGUACGGCCGCAAGGCUGAAACUUAAAGGAAUUGGCGGGGGAGCAC